AGAGUUUGAUCCUGGCUCAGGACAAACGCUGGCGGCGUGCGUAACACAUGCAAGUCGAACGGGGGCAGGCCGGCUUUCGGGCGGGACUGUUCGAGUGGCGGACGGGUGAGUAACACGUGGAUAACCUACCCUGGUGUGGGGGAUACCCUGUAGAAAUACGGGCUAAUACCGCAUGAGGUGGAGCUUGGGAGGCCGAGCUU
rnacentral:rRNA from 1 species